GACGAACGCUGGCGGCGUGCCUAAUACAUGCAAGUAGAACGCACAGUUUAUACCGUAGCUUGCUACACCAUAGACUGUGAGUUGCGAACGGGUGAGUAACGCGUAGGUAACCUGCCUGGUAGCGGGGGAUAACUAUUGGAAACGAUAGCUAAUACCGCAUAAUAUUGAUUAUUGCAUGAUAAUUGAUUGAAAGAUGCUAUUGCAUCACUACUAGAUGGACCUGCGUUGUAUUAGCUAGUAGGUGAGGUAACGGCUCACCUAGGCGACGAUACAUAGCCGACCUGAGAGGGUGAUCGGCCACACUGGGACUGAGACACGGCCCAGACUCCUACGGGAGGCAGCAGUAGGGAAUCUUCGGCAAUGGACGAAAGUCUGACCGAGCAACGCCGCGUGAGUGAAGAAGGUUUUCGGAUCGUAAAGCUCUGUUGUAAGAGAAGAACGGGUGUGGGAGUGGAAAGUUCACACUGUGACGGUAUCUUACCAGAAAGGGACGGCUAACUACGUG
rnacentral:rRNA from 1 species